GGUGGUUCGCCUGCGAAUUCAGUCUGCUUAGCAGGCAACAUCUCUACUGUGCUAGAAAUUACAAUAGUAUUACUAGCAGCCUGCUUUAGCAGGUUCACAGAUCAAAUAGAGGUGGCCCUUUAGGGGUUAAGAUAUGAUCGAUUUGAUGCUGAGACAGCAUUUUUAAAAUGGAACCUGCGGAAGGAUCAUUAAAGAGUAUAGAGACUUCGGUCUACUACUCCACCCUUUGUUUACAAUACCAUUGUUGCUUUGGCAGGCCCGUCGCAAGACAACCGGCUUUGGCUGGUCAGUGCCUGCCAGAGGACCUAAAACUCAUGUUUAUAUUAUUGUCUGAGUACUAUAUAAUAGUUAAAACUUUCAACAACGGAUCUCUUGGUUCUGGCAUCGAUGAAGAACGCAGCGAAAUGCGAUAAGUAAUGUGAAUUGCAGAAUUCAGUGAAUCAUCGAAUCUUUGAACGCACAUUGCGCCCUCUGGUAUUCCGGGGGGCAUGCCUGUUCGAGCGUCAUUACAACCCUCAAGCUCUGCUUGGUAUUAGGCUCCACCCUUAGGGGCGGGCUUUAAAAUCAGUGGCGGUGCCAUUCGGCUUCAAGCGUAGUAAUUUUCUCGCUUUGGAGGACCGGGUGUGUGUUUGCCAAUAACCCCAUAUUUUUUAAAGGUUGACCUCGGAUCAGGUAGGG
rnacentral:rRNA from 1 species